GGAGCUUGAACUCCCGGCUCGGCGUCUCUUCGCUCCACCGUGGCAGAGUGCCCAGAGCCCGAGGGGAGGGCGGCACGAGGCCCGGCCGCGCCCAUGGCCAAACUGCCGCCGCGGGCGGGACUGACCCCGCCGGCUAAGCCCUGUCCGUCCCCUGGGCCGCGCGCCAGGUAGCUAUAGAGUCCACUGCCUGAAAUGGGGACCCCAGGAACAGCUGUUCCCUGCACUGCAUCUACCCCUAGCAGCCCAGCGAGUACCUGAAGGCCUUGCUGGCCGUGGGGGAGAUUUGCCAGGACAAUGACAGUUUUCCAAAGCAGUUGUGUGAAUACUGGAGGCAUGAUUGAUGGAUCUCAAGGUGUGAGACCUGUUUGGCUUUGGAAAAUACUGC